rnacentral:lncRNA from 1 species
AUGAAUCCAGGCAGUGGCACAGAGCAGAAUCCCCCAAGCAUGCCCAAGCUGGCCUUGGGGAAGGAGGAGAAAGAAGGCGCUGGAACUACCCCAGCACAGCAGCCUGAAGAGGUGCAGCAGUUCCAGCAGGAGGGUGCAGCCAUGGAGCGCACACGAGAGCAGCACCGCACCCGCGGCCUCUUCCGCUCAACAGCGCAGUUGGUUUGCAAAUUCAUGAAGAGAAUUCGCGAGGAAGAGACCGGCGUCAUGGGCACUGCGCUCAGAGCAUACUCUCCCAUCUUCAAAAGCAAGACCAGUGCUGCCCUGCUGGAUAUGCUUGUGCAGGAAGGUCCUUCCAAUGCAAAGCAAGUGCCCGCCAUGGUGAGGUACAUCCACCAGUGGCUCACGGCCAAUGAGAGGCCUGAGUACAAUGUGUACAGGCCCCUUCUGGACCUGACAGAGGCACAGCCCGCUGACGUGGUGAUGGCUCUCCUGCGUGCGGCCCCAUCGUGUGACAGGCGACUGUGGUGA